rnacentral:rRNA from 1 species
CAGCCGUAAACUAGGCUCGCUAGGUGUCAGGCAUGGCGCGACCGUGUCUGGUGCCGCAGGGAAGCCGUGAAGCGAGCCACCUGGGAAGUACGGCCGCAAGGCUGAAACUUAAAGGAAUUGGCGGGGGAGCACAACAACGGGUGGAGCCUGCGGUUUAAUUGGACUCAACGCCGGACAACUCACCGGGGACGACAGCAAUAUGUAGGCCAGGCUGAAGACCUUGCCUGAAUCGCUGAGAGGAGGUGCAUGGCGUAGACGUCU